GGCUGUGUAACGUGUACAAGAAUCGACUUUUCCGAAGCUCUUCUUACGGAAUGAGCGAUUCUCCAUUGUUGUAGGUUUUGCGGUGAAAGUUAGCUAUGUGAAAAGAUAUUUGGUAUCACGUCUUUUAGAAAGAGUUGCUUCAUUGGUAAUUAUGCCAGAUCUUAUUUACAAUUUUUUACCACAAUACAUGGUUGAAAUACUUCUAAAUGUAAUAUAGAAUUUAACUAAGUGAUGCUUAUUUUUAUAUUUCUAUUUACGUUAAUUUU
rnacentral:lncRNA from 1 species